GUGCCAGCUUUGGCAGCACACAUACUAAAAUUGGGAUGAUACAAAGAAGAUUAGCAUGGCCCCUGCACAAGGAAGACACACAAAUUCGUGAACUGUUCCAUAUUUUU
rnacentral:snRNA from 1 species